UACCAGCACCCCGAGUGGUCGGGACGUUUAUUGGGCCUAAAGCAUCCGUAGCCGGUUCUACAAGUCUUCCGUUAAAUCCAACUGCUUAACAGGUGGGCUGCGGAAGAUACUAUAGAGCUAGGAGGCGGGAGAGGCAAGCGGUACUCGAUGGGUAGGGGUAAAAUCCGUUGAUCCAUUGAAGACCACCAGUGGCGAAGGCGGCUUGCCAGAACGCGCUCGACGGUGAGGGAUGGAAAGCUG
rnacentral:rRNA from 1 species